rnacentral:rRNA from 1 species
AUUGAACGCUGGCGGUAUGCUUAACACAUGCAAGUCGAACGGUAACAGGCCUUCGGGCGCUGACGAGUGGCGGACGGGUGAGUAAACGCGUAGGAAUCUGCCUCAUAGUGGGGGACAACGUGGGGAAACUCACGCUAAUACCGCAUACGCCUACGGGGAAAGGACGGGGAGUCUUCGGACCUCGCGCUAUGAGAUGAGCCUGCGUUAGAUUAGCUAGUUGGUAGGGUAAAGGCCUACCAAGGCGACGAUCUAUAGCUGGUCUGAGAGGACGAUCAGCCACACUGGGACUGAGACACGGCCCAGACUCCUACGGGAGGUAGCAGUGGGGAAUAUUGGACCAAUGGGCGCAAGCCUGAUCCAGCAAUACCGCGUGUGUGAAGAAGGCCUUAGGUUGUAAAGACACUUCUAAUUAGGGUAGGGAAAAACCGUAACGCCGGU